rnacentral:rRNA from 1 species
UUAUCGUUUAUUUGAUAUUGCCUAUCCUACAUGGAUAACAGUGGUAAUUCUAGAGCUAAUACAUGCUGAAAAUCCCGACUUCGGAAGGGACGUAUUUAUUAGAAUCAGAACCAAUGCCCUUCGGGGUUUCCUGGUGACUCAUGAUAACUCCACAGAUCGCAUGGCCUUGCGCCGGCGAUGGCUCAUUCAAAUUUCUUCCCUAUCAACUUUCGACGGUACGGUCUUGGCCUACCGUGGUUGUAACGGGUGACGGAGGGUUAGGGCUCGACCCCGGAGAGAGAGCCUGAGAAACGGCUAUCACAUCCAAGGAAGGCAGCAGGCGCGCAAAUUAUCCAAUCCCGACUCGGGGAGAUAGUGACAAUAAAUACCGAUACAGGGCUCUUUUGGGCCCUGUAAUUGGAAUGAGUACAAUUUAAACCUCUUAACGAGGAACAAUUGGAGGGCAAGUCUGGUGCCAGCAGCCGCGGUAAUUCCAGCUCCAAUAGCGUAUAUUAAAGUUGUUGUGGUUAAAAAGCUCGUAGUCGAACCUCGAGCCUGGCCGGCCGGUCCGCCUCACCGCGUGCACUGGUCUGGCCGGGCUCUUCCCUCUGCGGAACCGCAUGUCCUUCACUGGGCGUGUCGGGGAGGCAGGACUUUUACUUUGAAAAAAUUAGAGUGCUCAAGGCAGGCCAAUGCUCGAAUACAUUAGCAUGGAAUAAUAGAAUAGGACGUUGGUUCUAUUUUGUUGGUUUCUAGGACCGCCGUAAUGAUCAAUAGGGACGGUCGGGGGCAUCAGUAUUCAGCCGUCAGAGGUGAAAUUCUUGGACCGGCUGAAGACUAACUACUGCGAAAGCAUUUGCCAAGGACGUUUUC